rnacentral:rRNA from 1 species
GAUGAACGCUGGCGGCGUGCCUAAUACAUGCAAGUCGAGCGAACGGACGAGAAGCUUGCUUCUCUGAUGUUAGCGGCGGACGGGUGAGUAACACGUGGAUAACCUACCUAUAAGACUGGGAUAACUUCGGGAAACCGGAGCUAAUACCGGAUAAUAUUUUGAACCGCAUGGUUCAAAAGUGAAAGACGGUCUUGCUGUCACUUAUAGAUGGAUCCGCGCUGCAUUAGCUAGUUGGUAAGGUAACGGCUUACCAAGGCAACGAUGCAUAGCCGACCUGAGAGGGUGAUCGGCCACACUGGAACUGAGACACGGUCCAGACUCCUACGGGAGGCAGCAGUAGGGAAUCUUCCGCAAUGGGCGAAAGCCUGACGGAGCAACGCCGCGUGAGUGAUGAAGGUCUUCGGAUCGUAAAACUCUGUUAUUAGGGAAGAACAUAUGUGUAAGUAACUGUGCACAUCUUGACGGUACCUAAUCAGAAAGCCACGGCUAACUACGUGCCAGCAGCCGCGGUAAUACGUAGGUGGCAAGCGUUAUCCGGAAUUAUUGGGCGUAAAGCGCGCGUAGGCGGUUUUUUAAGUCUGAUGUGAAAGCCCACGGCUCAACCGUGGAGGGUCAUUGGAAACUGGAAAACUUGAGUGCAGAAGAGGAAAGUGGAAUUCCAUGUGUAGCGGUGAAAUGCGCAGAGAUAUGGAGGAACACCAGUGGCGAAGGCGACUUUCUGGUCUGUAACUGACGCUGAUGUGCGAAAGCGUGGGGAUCAAACAGGAUUAGAUACCCUGGUAGUCCACGCCGUAAACGAUGAGUGCUAAGUGUUAGGGGGUUUCCGCCCCUUAGUGCUGCAGCUAACGCAUUAAGCACUCCGCCUGGGGAGUACGACCGCAAGGUUGAAACUCAAAGGAAUUGACGGGGACCCGCACAAGUGGUGGAGCAUGUGGUUUAAUUCGAAGCAACGCGAAGAACCUUACCAAAUCUUGACAUCCUUUGACAACUCUAGAGAUAGAGCCUUCCCCUUCGGGGGGGCAAAGUGACAGGUGGUGCAUGGUUGUCGUCAGCUCGUGUCGUGAGAUGUUGGGUUAAGUCCCGCAACGAGCGCAACCCUUAAGCUUAGUUGCCAUCAUUAAGUUGGGCACUCUAAGUUGACUGCCGGUGACAAACCGGAGGAAGGUGGGGAUGACGUCAAAUCAUCAUGCCCCUUAUGAUUUGGGCUACACACGUGCUACAAUGGACAAUACAAAGGGCAGCGAAACCGCGAGGUCAAGCAAAUCCCAUAAAGUUGUUCUCAGUUCGGAUUGUAGUCUGCAACUCGACUACAUGAAGCUGGAAUCGCUAGUAAUCGUAGAUCAGCAUGCUACGGUGAAUACGUUCCCGGGUCU